UCGCUCAAUCAUAAUAUUCAUAGUAGCUUGGAUGUGAAAUUGGAUACAUCAUUAGAUUCUUCUCAAAGCAAAAUUUUGAGUAAUGCUACUCAUAUCCUAGUAAAAUUAAUAAAAUAAGCAAAUGUAAAAGCAGCAAAUAAUUAUUCAUAUGAGCUAUUAUAGGAAAUCGUAAUUACAGUAAAGUUUCAUAACAAUAUACGUUGCAGCACAGAUAUAUUGUUACUAUGCUUUUCACACCCCAAGGCUUCCUCGACGCUGGCUUCUUGUUCUCUCAAACUUGGAAAGAGAAGUCUGCAUACUGAAAGUGAAUAAUACGAAUGCAAGGAUUUUACUCGGCUUUUGGAGUGCCUGUGGACCCGAUGCUACCCUGCUCCCCCAGCACGGCGACCUGUUGGGCGGCGAGGAAGAGGUAGCAGCGGCCCGAGCUGGCUCGGGAUGCAAUCUUCAAGUAUAUGUUGUGACCACCUUAUUUGUUGAUACUAAGAAAUGUAAGAAGAAGCUAGAGUAGUGAAGGUUUAGAUGUUGUACGGGAUCCAGCCAUUUCUGACCAGAGACGCACCAAAGUCUGACCUAACAACUCCUCUUUUCUUCUCUCGCCUCCUCACAUAUUAAAAAUAUUGUGUAUUAAAUUUCUUUAGCAAAGGAAAGCUCACUGAGAAUUGAAUAACUUGGAAUACAUAAGCGACAAUUAAAUGCAGCAUUCAACCAAGCAAAAAAUUUAAUGUUUUGUGUGCCUUCUUUUUACUGUCGGCAAAGCCGAGAACACAUCCACAGUCACCGCGGACAAAAUAAAACAAGACACAUUACUGAGAUUAAACACCAUGGCAGAGUACCAUUCAGUCUUAUGUGGGAUUUAGGCAAGUGUGCUACUGUAGUAAGAAAAUAAAUAAAGAGAUUAAUAUGCAAAUUGACCUGUAGUUUAAAGAAUCAAACUCAAAACAUAACUUCCAACCAUAUCUUCAGUGAAGAAAUUUAACUUGAGCAUCAGAGGGAAAUUUAUUGCUACUCCUAUAUGCUUUUGAUCCUUGCACAGUUAGUGCAGGGCAGUCACUGCUUUGAUUUCUUCCCUGGCCCAACUCCCUUUGAACCACCGGAGUUUCUUAAUUUCAAGAUGUGUAUAUAGACAAUUUGAAUGACUAUAUGAAUUGAAAGUACAUAGAUAAACAUAUAAGAGAAGAUGCAGCACCAGCACCUGUUGUUCUUGGGCGUCUGAAUCUGAUCAUCCUUUUCUUCAGCAUCAAGCGAAGAAGCAUCAGCCUGAGCAUCAGGGGUGGCCUGAAUCGCAAAACAAAACGGAUCAGAAUGCAAAGAUGUGUAUAUACAGCUCGGCUGCUGGAGCACAGGUUUACUCUGGUGCAGCAGUUUUGUUGGCCUCGCUUGCUUUGUCAAAACCUAAGAAAAGAAAACCAAAUCUUCUCUUCUAACUUGAAGUCACCAAUAAGAGAGGAAGCGGUUGGUACAGAAUAACUGCUGCAACUACGAAAAGAAAAACUGGAAAUUUUACUUAUGCACAGUAUAGUGCCUAGCCAUCAAUUCAUCAAGUAUGAGAAAAAUCCUAUAAAUACAUAUAUCAGGAAGUUCUUCUAAUACUCUAGUAACAUAAUCUAAUAAUUAAUAUAUCAACAACACUAUUGCUUGAAGAGUCCAAUCAGAAGCUCCUAACUAUUUUAGUAUCCCAGGCAAUCUCUGUGUGAAGCAAUCUUCAAGCAUAUUUUGUAACCAACUUACCGAGAGGAUCUCUGCACAAACCAAGCCUCUCGCACAUGAGCUGAAGCUUACUUAAGCAGAAUCCUUAACACAUAAAUUAUGUCAUCAAGCAAUAGAUCUAUUUCUGCACCAGAAGGUUCAUAUAAGCAGGAGGAGAGCAUCAUACUCGUGGGUCAGUGCUUGUGAAACUUAGAAGACAUAUUUGUACUACACCUAGGCAGUGUUAAGCUUCUAUGAUCUCUCUACUGUAUAAACCAAGCCUCUCACACAUCAGUUGCAGCUUAACUGAACAGAUUCAGAAGAGAUGAGUACAUAUAUCAGUGUAGAAAUGAUACAAGUUAUUAGCAUUCAUGACGAAAAAACAAAUAGACAAUGUAUUCACCUCGGGACUGCGGUAUCGAUUCGAGUAACUGUGCCGAUGCCGAAAUGCCAAUCUAAGGAUAGCCGCGGAGCUCAAUAACAACCUAGAUUAUUAUGUAUGAACAUCU
rnacentral:lncRNA from 1 species